UACAGAUCUUCUUUAUGCACCAAGAGCUUAUAACACUUCAAAGAGAGGAAAACUUGAAAUCGCAUCAUAUGACCCCUUUAAUGUCACAACUGACAACUAAUUGUAAACUAAAUGUAUUCGUAGCUAAAUAACCUGUCUGCUGUCAAAGUACCGUUCAUUGUCAUAGCGAAUGUUAACUCGCUGAACUUUAAUGUAAAAUGUUAAUAAAAUGUAACAAUUUAUUACAAAAAAAAAAAAAAAUUGUAGGCUAUAAAAAUAAUUAGGUAAUCAAAUGACAAGUCUAUUUUUUCUUCGUGGAAUGUCCGUUUAUUCAUAUUUCUAAGCAUAAAAUGUACAAAAGGUGCUGCAGGUUUCUGUCGUUCAGGUUGUGACAUCUGACAACCACUGCUUAACUGCACACUUUGUAGUCCACUUAAUUAUCCAGUCGUGAUCUGAAUGGAAGGCGGCUCGGAUCACUCGAGGGGCAGGUCACUUCAGGGGUAGAUCUGCGUGCCUGCAGCAGCUGCUGUAUCUCUGUUCUCGCUGCUGAUGUAAGAUGGCGGUAUCAUGUACAGUCGCGGACUCAGGGUACCAGACAGAGGGGCUGCUGCGCUGGGGGCUGUGGAAUGAGGUAGUAGUUUGUAUAGUUUGGGAUCACACCAGAUCUGGGAGAUAACUAUACAGCCUACUGUCUUUCUCACAGCUGCUCCCUCACAUCAGAUACACCGAUGACGUACCUUCACAUGGGAUUUGUGGGAUAGCUGAAUAUAUUAUACAUCUUUGUACUAUGCUUUCUGAGUAGGUAAAUAAAUAGUAGAUAAUUGGU